UACGUAGGGUGCAAGCGUUGUCCGGAAUUAUUGGGCGUAAAGAGCUCGUAGGCGGUUUGUCGCGUCUGCUGUGAAAACCCGAGGCUCAACCUCGGGCCUGCAGUGGGUACGGGCAGACUAGAGUGCGGUAGGGGAGACUGGAAUUCCUGGUGUAGCGGUGAAAUGCGCAGAUAUCAGGAGGAACACCGAUGGCGAAGGCAGGUCUCUGGGCUGUAACUGACGCUGGAGGAGCGAAAGCAUGGGGAGCGAACAGG
rnacentral:rRNA from 1 species